UUGUUUUGUCUUCUUUUUUUUUUUUUUUUUUUUUGGAAAGAAACAUGGGAGGGGGGUUAAAGGUAGGGGUAAGGGGUGGUGAGGUAGUGGGAUAGGGUAUAGGAUAAAGUUUGUUAGUAUAAGGUUAGGGAUUUAUUAAAUUUUUGUUAUUUUUGUAUUUUUGUGGGGUAUAAUUACAUGGGUGAGGGUACACGGUAGGAUAAAGUAAAAAAUGAGUAAAAACGAUAUUGGGGAGGGACGAAAUUAGGUGUCUACAAAUGCCAUGUCUGUCUGCUAGCUAAACGAACUAGAAUACCAUUUCCUGAUAGUAAUUCUAAAGUUGUGAAGCCUUUUGAUGUAGUACGUAUGGAUCUUUGGGGGCCUUAAAAAGUCCCUACUUUUGAUAAGAAACACUACUUUCUUACUGUAGUAGAUGAUCAUAGUAGGUAUACUUGGCUUCACUUGUUACAGUUGAAAUCUGAAUGUAUUAUGGCUAUUAAAAACUUUUUGAAUUUGAUAAGAAAUCAAUUUGGUGCUCAAAUAAAAGUUCUCAGAUCAAAUAAUGGAACGGAAUUUAUAAACUCACAAUAUAGAGAGUUAUUUCAAUCCUUGGGUGUAUUGCAUCAAAGUAGCUACCCCUACACACCACAGCAGAAUGGGAUUGUUGAAAGAAAGCACAGGCAAAUACUAAAUAUUGCUUGAGCUAUCAGGCUUCAGUCUCAGAUGCCUAUCAAGUUUUGGGGAUUGAAUGCCAAGGCUGUGGUUUAUCUUAUGAACAUGCUACCUUCUUCUUCUAUUGGAGGUAAGAGUCCUUAUGAGGUGCUAUUCUGUAAAAUUCCCUCACUGACACAUCUUAGAGUUAUUGGCUGUAAGUGUUAUGCCUCAGUACUACCCAGAGGAGAUAAGUUUACUGAAAGAGCCAAACCUGCAGUACUUAUGGGAUAUUCUACUUCUCAGAAAGACAAGACCACUUCAGAGUUGUCUUCUGACUUUCUUACAAUAAGUGAGAAUGAAUGUGCAGAUGCAAACAUGGAUGAUCAUGUAGAUUCUCACCUGUUAUACCAGAGUCUUGUCACCAGAUUCCUAUGUCUUCAGAUGAGAAUAUGAAUAUUUCCAAUGUUCCAAAUAGCAUACUAGAUGAUGUUCCCUCCAACUCAUCAUAUGCUACAACAUCAUCCUCACAACCUGAAGUACCUGCUCCAAGAAAAUCAACCAGAGUACACAAGCUACCUGCUUGGAUGAUGGACUAUGCAACACCAGGAAAGGGAAAAGGAACAAGAUUUCCCUUAGACAAAUAUUUGUUCUACGCUGGGACUAGUCUUAAUUAUCAGUAUUUUGUGUCCAAUUUGUCAGUAUUAGUUGAACCUCAAUCAUAUAAUUAAGCAGUUAAGGAUUGUUUUGCAAUAAUUUUGACUUUUUGAUAAGAGUCGCCACUUAAUUUUGAAAAGAAAUUAAGAAACCUUAAAUACUUUAAACGAUCCAAAAUAGAAAAAAAUCAUUUAAGUCAAAGAUUCUGAAUAAGCAGUUCCUAUUAACGUUUUAGGAAGGUGUUAGGCACCUAAAACGUUCGCUAACUUGAGGUUAUCCGAUCUGUUUGAAAAUCAUCUCUUUUGACUAACUUGGAAAAUCGACUUGUGGGAAAAGUAUUUGAUUAAGGAAAAGUUUUUUUGCAAAAUCAAUUUUUUAGCGACUUAGUUAGGGAUUAACUAGAUUCGAACACUAAGCA